CAGGUGGUGAAAUUGGUAGACACAAGGGAUUUAAAAUCCCUCGACUUUCGAGUCGUGCCGGUUCAAGUCCGGCCCGGGGCACCA
rnacentral:tRNA from 1 species